AGCGAACGCUGGCGGCAGGCCUAACACAUGCAAGUCGAACGAACUCUUCGGAGUUAGUGGCGGACGGGUGAGGAACACGUGGGAACGUGCCUUUUGGUUCGGAAUAACUCAGGGAAACUUGUGCUAAUACCGAAUGUGCUCUUCGGGGGAAAGAUUUAUCGCCAUUAGAGCGGCCCGCGUCUGAUUAGCUAGUUGGUGAGGUAACGGCUCACCACGGCGACGAUCAGUAGCUGGUCUGAGAGGAUGACCAGCCACACUGGGACUGAGACGCGGCCCAGAAUCCUACGGGAGGCAGCAGUGGGGAAUCUUGCGCAAUGGGCGAAGGGCUGACGCAGCCAUGCCGGGUGAAUGAUGAAGGUCGUAGGAUAGUAAAAUUCUUUCACCGGGGGCGAUAAUGACGGUACCCGGAGAAGAAGCCCCGGCUAACUUCGUG
rnacentral:rRNA from 1 species